UUAGGCCACAUCCACCAAAUCAGUGCCUCAGGAUGUCCACAUUGUAGCAUGACAAUUAUUUAUAUUUAGAAAAACCUGUACUGUGGUGGCCACGGUCGCCAUGCAAUCAAUACUAACUGAGGUUAAAUCUGUCUCCCAAUUGCACUGCUUAAAAGUGAAACAUUAAGCCAAUGAAGAGUUCGCUAUAAAAGUCAGGUCCCGAUUAUUGAUUAUUUAUAACCACAGUGCCACACCCAUCCUUUCCCGGGCCCAAGCAACUCCCUCUUCCAUAUUCCUCUGAACAGCAUGUGAGAAUUACUCACUCACUCAGUUCCCAGGAAAUCUACCAUAGGAGUGUUUUGUAUCUGUGAGUUAGAGAUUUAGAGUGAGAGAGAUAGUAAAAGGUGGGGAGGGGGAGGGGGAGAGAGAGUUAGAGGGAGAGAGAAGGGAGUGUGAAGGGCAUGCAAUAGCACACUGAGCCCUGGGCCAGUGAAAGAAGGGAUUAUUCAGCAUGGGCCCGGUGUGCUGGUGCUGGCUGGCUUUAGAGAUACACACCAUGCUAGGCUCAGGGGCACAGAGCUCCGAGGCUAACACAGUUGUGCUCAAAAUAUCCUGUUACUUAUUGUUAUAGUUUGAGUGAUAGUGAUAGAUGGAGUGGGUUGAAGUAAUAGUAAUAUGCAGUGAUAAGGGGGGAUGUUAUAGGUGUUUACCCUUGGAUCUGAAUUUAGUUAAUCUUUAUAAAACGGCAAGAUGUCUCUCAAUCACAUUACACUUCCAAAUAAGAUGUUUGACUUGUCUUACUUUUUCCCACUUGUGGUUGGAAAAACAUGAAUGGUGGUGUCAAAUAAUAUAUGCAUUUAUUUGUUCUUGCUUUAUUCAGUAUGAUUUGUGUUGCAGCUCUUGACCAAAAGACAGAUACCAAGAACAUAAAGACGUUUUAACAUUAGAUGAAUAAUGAUGGUCCCAAAGCCUGCUUCUUUCCACUUUUGAGGAGUUAAGUCUUAUCCCAAUUGGAUUCAGUACAGGAACAUAAUGAAGGAAGGAACCGAAUACAUAUGAAGACAAAAUUCUGAAUUAUCUCUAGUAAGGAAUGGCUAAAGGUUUCUGCCAUUCCUUACAAAAUUAUAACAUUUUCCUUGUUGCUGUCAUAAGAUAACAGACAUGUACAAGCAGGGAUGUGCUUAACAAGGUUAAAAAGAUAAAAGAUACAAAGAAAAUGUGUAUUUUUCUUCUCUAUCUUUGUAUCUAUCUAUCAUUAUAUUGUAUGCAACAUAAAAAUAAUAAUGAAUUGCAUUCAUAGAAAUCAUUUGGAGACUUCAAUUCUAUACAGGUGAAUAUUGUCAAGUCUAAUCUCCGAUUUGUCCUUCAAGCAAAUUUUGCCCGAUUCAUCACAGCAGAGGAACUUCACCACGUUGUCUUUUAUAUGCUCCAGACGCCUCCAAUCAGUCCCAUUGUCAUCUUCCCACCUAAAGCGGUAUUCGUUACCCAAGCUAUUUGGCAGAUUUUCUUCAACCAGCUGCGGACACAAAUGACUGGUUUAACUCAAAAGGUAACUGUAAACAAUGACCACAUAAGUGUUAUUGUUGAAAUGGAAGCUUGAAAGCUAACCAGUUAACUAUAUAAUUCAAUUAACAUCACACAAUAUUAAUUUGUCUCAACAUGUCUGUCUUUCUUGGGCAUCUCCCCAACUUGUGUUUAAUAUGAAAUGAGUCAACAUCCAUGUAAUUAAUGCUGAAAUGGGAAAGCCAACCUGCUGAAAAUUAUUUGCAUUUGUGGUUAAUUGUAUGAUUAAUAAAAAUGGACGUUACUAUAAAUAACAUGGAACAGCUAGGACUUUUUAAUAUGAGGUGAUCCUGUCUUGGGAUCUAGCCCACACUUGUCCAAAACGAAAACACCCAACUGGCCUGAAAUGACUGAGAGUGUGAAAGUAGUACAACUGCUUUGAAGCAAUUUCCUGGUAUUUCCUAGGUAUGAUGCACAAAGAGUACAGCAUCGGUAAAACUAUAAGGAGAUUAUGAAAGUUGCUUUUAAAAUACAGGCUCCCAAGUCACCACUGUUACCAAUCCGUUGUAUCAAGAGUUUUUGUUGAAAAAUCAGAUUACACCACUCUUGUAGUUGCUAGAAAUUGAGAGGGCCAAUGGCUAACCUGUCACUGUUACAUACAUUGAGUAGAAUAUAUUUUUUUCAGAUUUCUUUGGGGUUGAAGCUGAAGUGCCAACACUCACAACGGUAGUUCAAGAUGUGUGUGCAGCUUCUCAGGCCCUGGUUCUGAUUGGUACCAAUACACUUGAUACAUAUCAAACUUAUAGCACCAGUCCAGAAAUGAAGCCUUCCUGUACCGACAGUGAUAUAUUGUUUCAUCUUCUUAUGACAAAUGUACUUAUUUUCGGUCGCUUUGGAUGAAAGCGUUUACUAAAUGCCCUAAACUUCAAUGUAAAAUGAAUUCAAAUAUAGCUUUAUAUUUACCUCCAGGCCCUUUCCGACUUUGAGAAAGCAGUGUUGUCCGCCACGGUUGAAUGAGAUAGCAACAUGCAUGUCCCACUCAUAGAAUGUCGCUGUGUAUGAAAUCAGCAAGCAAACAUUGUGAUCAUGCAGGAGGCAAUGGUAAUUUAACUCACAUACUGUAUAUAAGUGGGGCCCGGAUGACACCAUUCUGCAAUAGUUCCAUUUUCAAAAAGAAAAUCCAAAUCACAUCACUGCUGCAAUCUGAAUUAUAGAGACUCAUUUACCUUCAUACUGGGCGUGUUUUUGGGCUGAUUUGGCUCUCAAUACUUUUCCAUCCCACAAAUGUUUGAUGACAGUCACUUGCUUCCCAUCAAUUUGGGCCAGGUAGCCCAUCCUCUUUCGAGGUUCACUCAUGAUGAUAGUGGCAGCAG